UACGUAGGGGGCAAGCGUUGUCCGGAAUCAUUGGGCGUAAAGAGCGUGUAGGCGGCCUGGUAAGUCCGCUGUGAAAGUCCAGGGCUCAACCCUGGAAUGCCGGUGGAAACUGUCAGGCUCGAGUCCGGAAGAGGCGAGUGGAAUUCCUGGUGUAGCGGUGAAAUGCGCAGAUAUCAGGAGGAACACCAAUGGCGAAGGCAGCUCGCUGGGACGGUACUGACGCUGAGACGCGAAAGCGUGGGGAGCAAACGGG
rnacentral:rRNA from 1 species